GCCUACGGGGCGCAGCAGUGGGGAAUAUUGGGCAAUGGGCGCAAGCCUGACCCAGCAACGCCGCGUGAAGGAAGAAGGCUUUCGGGUUGUAAACUUCUUUUCUCAGGGACGAAGAAAGUGACGGUACCUGAGGAAUAAGCCACGGCUAACUACGUGCCAGCAGCCGCGGUAAUACGUAGGUGGCAAGCGUUAUCCGGAUUUACUGGGUGUAAAGGGCGUGUAGGCGGGGAAGCAAGUCCGAUGUGAAAAACACGGGGUCAACCUGGGGCCUGCAUUUGAAACUGUUUUUUUUGAGUACUGGAAGG
rnacentral:rRNA from 1 species